AUUGAACGCUGGCGGCAGGCCUAACACAUGCAAGUCGAACGAGUGGCGGACGGGUGAGUAAUGUAGGGGAAACUGCCUGAUGGAGGGGGAUAACUACUGGAAAAGGUAGAUAAUACCGCAUACCAUCGGAUGUGCCCAGAUGGGCUUAGCUAGUAGGUGGGGUAAAGGCUCACCUAGGCGACGCUCUCUAGCUGGUCUGAGAGGAUGACCAGCAACACUGGAACUGAGACACGGUCCAGACUCCUACGGGAGGCAGCAGUGGGGAAUAUUGGACAAUGGGCGCAAGCCUGAUACAGCCAUGCCGCGUGUAUGAAGAAGGCCUUCGGGUUGUAAAGUACUUUCAGCUGGGAGGCGUUACCCGCAGAAGAAGCACCGGCUAACUCCGUGCCAGCCGCCGCGGUAAUAC
rnacentral:rRNA from 1 species